rnacentral:rRNA from 1 species
AACAGAGGGUGCCCGAAAGGGAAUCGGAACACAGGUGCUGCAUGGCUGUCGUCAGCUCGUGUCGUGAGAUGUUGGGUUAAGUCCCGCAACGAGCGCAACCCUUAUCAUUAGUUGCUACGCAAGGGCACUCUAAUGAGACUGCCGGUGACAAACCGGAGGAAGGUGGGGAUGACGUCAAGUCCUCAUGGCCCUUAUGGGUAGGGCUUCACACGUCAUACAAUGGUCGGUACAGAGGGUUGCCAAGCCGCGAGGCGGAGCCAAUCCCACAAAGCCGAUCGUAGUCCGGAUUGUUCUCUGCAACUCGAGAGCAUGAAGUCGGAAUCGCUAGUAAUCGCAGGUCAGCAUACUGCGGUGAAUACGUUCCCGGGUCUU